GACGAACGCUGGCGGCGUGCUUAACACAUGCAAGUCGAACGGAAAGGCCCUGCUUUUGUGGGGUGCUCGAGUGGCGAACGGGUGAGUAACACGUGAGUAACCUGCCCUUGACUUUGGGAUAACUUCAGGAAACUGGGGCUAAUACCGGAUAGGAGCUCCUGCUGCAUGGUGGGGGUUGGAAAGUUUCGGCGGUUGGGGAUGGACUCGCGGCUUAUCAGCUUGUUGGUGGGGUAGUGGCUUACCAAGGCUUUGACGGGUAGCCGGCCUGAGAGGGUGACCGGCCACAUUGGGACUGAGAUACGGCCCAGACUCCUACGGGAGGCAGCAGUGGGGAAUAUUGCACGAUGGGCGGAAGCCUGAUGCAGCAACGCCGCGUGCGGGAUGACGGCCUUCGGGUUGGAACCCGCUUUCGCCUGUGACGAAGCGUGAGUGACGGUAAUGGGUAAAGAAGCACCGGCUAACUACGUG
rnacentral:rRNA from 1 species